AUUGGGAGUUCAGGGCGCGGCUGUGACCUGCAGCCACUCGGAGAGGCCGCGCCCCGCACUCGCGAGGUC
rnacentral:pre_miRNA from 1 species